UCUCUGGGUACUGUUGUAGCACAAGCCUGUGUGCCUGCUGAGGUGAAAGACCCCCGAAGGGAGACCCUCACUCAAGCCUCGGGACAGCCGCGGACCCAAGAAGACACUGAGACCG
rnacentral:pre_miRNA from 7 species